GCAUCGGUGGUUCGGUAGAAUGCCUGCCUGUGCCACGCGGGCGGCCCGGUUUCGAUUCCCGGCCGAUGCA